AGAUUGAACGCUGGCGGCAUGCCUAACACAUGCAAGUCGAACGGCAGCGCGGGUAGCAAUACCUGGCGGCGAGUGGCGGACGGGUGAGGAAUACAUAGGAAUCUACCCUGUCGUGGGGGAUAACGUAGGGAAACUUACGCUAAUACCGCAUACGACCGAGAGGUGAAAGCGGCGGACCGCAAGGCGUCGCGCGGCUGGAUGAGCCUAUGUCCGAUUAGCUAGUUGGCGGGGUAAGAGCCCACCAAGGCGACGAUCGGUAGCUGGUCUGAGAGGAUGAUCAGCC
rnacentral:rRNA from 1 species